rnacentral:rRNA from 1 species
GAGGAAAUCAUUGCUUGACAAACACGCCUGGGGGAUGGGGCCGCGACCGAUCAGGUUGUGGUGAGGUAAUGGCUCACCAAGCCUAUAACCGGUACAGGCCGUGAGAGCGGUAUCCCGGACAUGGGUACUGAGACAAGGACCCAAGCCCUACGGGGCGCAACAGUCGCGAAAACUCCCCAAUGCACGAAAGUGUGACGGGGCUACCCCGAGUGCCAUCCGCUGAGGAUGGAUUUUCCUUGGUAUAACUAGCCGAGGGAAUAAGGAGAGGGUAAGACUGGUGUCAGCCGCCGCGGUAAUACCAGCUCUCCAAAUGGUAGGGAUGAUUAUUGGGCUUAAAGCGUCCAUACCCAGCUUAUAAAGUCUCCUGUUAAAUUCAACGACCUAAUCUUUGAACCGCGGGAGAUACUACUAGGCUAUGAGGCGGAAGAGGUCUACUGUACUCCUGGGGUAAGGGUGAAAGCCUAUAAUCCCUAGAUGACCACCAGUGGAGAAGGCUGUUGACUAGAACGCGCUCGACGGUGAAUGACAAAAGCUGGGGGAGCGAAGCGGAUUAGAUACUCGGUUAAUCCUAGCCGUAAACGAUGCCCGAUUAGUGUUGGAGAGAAUACGGUACACUUCAUUGCCGCAAGGAAGCCAUUAAACACUCCGACUGAGGAGAACGGCCGCGAGGCUGACACUUCAAGGAAUUG